rnacentral:rRNA from 1 species
UACGUAGGGUGCAAGCGUUAAUCGGAAUUACUGGGCGUAAAGCGUGCGCAGGCGGUUCUCCAAGUCCGUUGUGAAAGCCCCGGGCUCAACCUGGGAAUGGCAGUGGAAACUAGGGGACUUGAAUCUGGCAGAGGGGGGUGGAAUUCCACGUGUAGCAGUGAAAUGCGUAGAGAUCUGGAGGAACACCGAUGGCGAAGGCAGCCUUCUGGGCCAACACUGACGCUCAUGCACGAAAGCGUGGGGAGCAAACAGG